GACGUGAGAGGCAAGCGUUACUCGUCAUUGAUAGGGUCUAAGGUGCGUAGGCUGUAUAGAACAUCGGAUUUAGGACGUCGGAGAGUGAAUCUGUGAUAAUUCUAAACUAGAGUUAAAGAGAAGUAACAAUAUAACGGAGAGUAGUGUAAGUAAUACCUGAGAUACUCGAGAGGUUGCGAGGCGCGAAGGCAUGAUUACUAUUGAUGACUGACGCUG
rnacentral:rRNA from 1 species